CAUGUACAAGAAUUACGGACAUUUCAAGGCGAGAUAACUCGUAUGAAUUUUCUAUUCUGGUUCCCAUAUUGUUCUCAUCGUCUGGUGACCAGAAGAUAAGAAAAGAUAACUCCCCUAAACGAACACCCCACCAAUAGAUGUCGCUUUGCCGUAAGGCAUAUCGCGUAAUAAAUGUUAAAUUAUUAGCAUGUAUACGAUAAUUUCAGACGCAAUAGAUUUUAGAAGGAACCCCC
rnacentral:lncRNA from 1 species